rnacentral:rRNA from 1 species
CCUACGGGAGGCAGCAGUGAGGAAUAUUGGUCAAUGGACGGAAGUCUGAACCCGCCAUGCCGCGUGCAGGAAGACGGCUCUAUGAGUUGUAAACUGCUUUUGUACAAGGGUAAACCUGAAUACGUGUAUUCAGCUGAAAGUACUGUACGGAUACGGAUCUGCUAACUCCGUGCAAGCAGCCGCGGUAAUACGGAGGAUCCAAGCGUUAUCCGGAUUUAUGGGGUUUAAAGGGUGCGUAGGCGGAUUGAUAAGUUAGAGGUGAACUGUCCGAGCUUAACUCGGGAACUGCCUCUAAUACUGGUGAUCUAGAGAGUAGAUGCGGUAGGCGGAAUGUAUGGUGUAGCGGUGAAAUGCUUAGAGAUCAUACAGAACACCGAUUGCGAAGGCAGCUUACCAAUCUAUAUCUGACGUUGAGGCACGAAAGCGUGGGGAGCAAACAGGAUUAGAUACCCCUGUAGUC